rnacentral:lncRNA from 1 species
CCGGGACGUGUAGCGGCCAGUACUUCGCCCCUAUUCGACCAUUGGGAUACCUGAUAUCAGAUUAUGGCUGAACAACACAGACAAUGAAUCAAACGAAACUAUAUUUUAUUCACAAAUGUACAAUAAUUGCAUGUAUUAAACAAAGUCGGAUAUAAACAGGAGUCAGAAAACUUUCUAAACUGAAGUUAAAAAAAUAGGGUAAUUUCAAAGGUAAAAUGAAAAUGAGGUGUUCCCAGAGUUAGUCUUAAAAGUAAAGUAAACUGCUUCGCGUUGUGUUUUAAAGUAGUGAAAUUUGCACCAUAAAGGGGUGACUAACUCUGGCGAACAGCACCGGCGUGGUGGCUAACUUUAAACUCAAGUGAACUGAUACAGUCCGUCGAGUAUUUGGAGGCCUGUGCAAGGCCGACUCCGACUGAAUGUCAAACGAUAUUCUAAACUUGUCAUUAAACAGGGUAACUUUAACUGAAACGGUACUGAAGAAAAGUUGAAUAAAUAAAUAUUCAUAAAACAUUAUAAAAACAUCGAAAGUUA